CGCUUCUGCAGCCCCUGCACCACGUCCUCAUACUUGUCCAGCACCUUCUCCUGGUCCUGGAGAGAACGGGGUCAGGGGCCCAGGUGUGACACUUCUGGAACAGGCAAGUCCAUAGAGACAGCAAGAAGACCAAAGCUGACAACCAUCUGGGCCGUUUCCACCUUUGGGCCAUCGUGAGAAUCACGCUGCUAUGAACGUUCGGGAACAAGCUUUUGUGUUCCCCAGGGUACCUGGACACCUACCGGAGUCAUGGACCAGCAAUGCAGGUGCUGUUGAUGUUGGGGGCAUUGGGGGCAGAAAUGGCAGCAGCCAACAUGCUGGGGAUCCAUCCGUCUAGGUUCCACACCUUGCUUAAGGGCCAGCUUUGUGGCAGACCUGGAUACACCGGAGCUGGGGGAUCUUGAGGGAACAGGACCCAAGCCAUACCUUCUGCAAGGUCAACUGGGGGCAGCCUGUCCCAAAGUGGGGUCCCAGGAACCCAACUCUUACAAGUCUUAUUCUUCCUUGGUCAAGGCACUUAGGAAAACCCCAUCCUUGAUAUGUUCAUGAGCCAGCAAAGGCACUGACAAGUCCUGCAGUGGAGAAAGCCAGUGUUUGGCGGGGUGGCCAGGAAGGCUUAGCAGUGGGGGGCUUUGGAUGGAGGAUCUCGGUAAGAAGGGAUAAGGUGGGCUUCUAGAACAGCCAGGUCAGGGGUCCACCCGACUCCUCCCUCAUUCCCUAACCCCCCACUUCCUGGUUGGGCAGGCCACAUGGAGAAUGUGAGUUUCUGGGCCCCCACACUCCCACCCCAGUCACUGACCAUCUGCCAGGCCAGCUGCACCUAGAGGCGGUGAGUCUCACCCCAAAUAUUUAACCCCUGACUCUGCAGUGCAUCGUUAGGGUCUGUACUGUGGCUCAAGUGGGGGCCUUUGUCUCUCUUGGGCCCAGUCCCACCUCAGGCACAGGGCCAGCUCCCAAACCAGCCCUUUCAUGGAUUGUGGCAGAUGCAAGAAAAGCCACCUUCUGGACUCUAUCCUGGCUGGGCCUGUUGUUCCAGCCGAAGCCCCCCAGAGGACAUGGGAGUUGUGGGGCAAUGACCACUGCCUCAGGGACCUUGGACUCCUGAUGGGACAAAGCUGUGAGCGGUAGCAGGAAGCUAUGAGCAGACAGGCCAGGCCCAAGGCCCACUGGGCUGCUUGCUGCUUAGACAGCCUCAGGCAAGUGCCCUACCCUCGUACAGCCUCCGCUUCUCCAUCUGUCCUCUGGCGAUGACCACAAAGGCAUCCUGGGCAUUUGCCACUUGCUGUGGGCUUUGCCAGACCUCAGACAUAUUCACAGGCACCAGCUCAAUAUCAUCCUUGCCCUAAGUCCCCGGGGAGGUUGGUGUGCCCCUUUGAAGAAGGGGAUGAAGAAACCAAGACUCUGAGACAUCAAAGCACUUGCUCAGGGUCACACAGCUGGUGAACCGCGAUUCUCCCCGCAAGCAAUCUCACUCCAGAGGCAUGUGAUCGACUGGGCUAGAAGUUACUCAUGGGGAUGCUAGGAAAAUCACACCAAUAACAAUCUCCACCAUCGUAAUAUGAGCUAAUACUUACUCUCUACGUGCCAGGCUCCUCACUGUUUCUGACUCAAUCUUCAUGACAACCCUGAGAGCUGGGUGUUAGCAUGGGAAGCUGGCCAGCUGCAGAUCCCUGAGACCUGUCCCUGCUUCUCCCUCCACUGGUUCUACCUGGGAACGCGUCUCCUGCGCAUCCUCCUCCAUCUGCCCCUCUGGCCUCACCUUGAUCAAAGUCACCACUUCUUACCUGGCCCAAUGCAACAGCCACCCACUCUCUUUUCUGAGAGCAUUUGGGAGCACAGGUAAGUUUUAGUUUGGAUGAUGGGAUGAUCUGGUUGCAUCAUACAAAGACCUAAGAGUUGGGGAGAUAUGCUUCCCGGCCUCCUGCCCCCAGGAGAGACGUGGACCCUCCAAGGACACCAUGAAUGGCAACCUUCCAGCCAUCAGCGACCUGGAAGGGGGCUCCCUGGGUGGGGGUGGCUUCAAGAGCCACCCUUGAUGUCUUCAGCUGUACCUGUUCAAGUCACAUGGCACCAACUGGCCCAUUCUUUCUACCCUGCCUGCAGGGGAGGAAACUGAGGCAGCCUGGCCAGGGCAGGGAACGUAGCCUGUGUUGUGGCUCUAACCCAGGUGUGGGCUCGGGCAGAUUCCUUAGUCUCUCUGUGCCUCAGUUUCCUCAUCUCUGAGACAGGGAUAGGAAUUGAUCCCACUGCAGAGGGUUGAGAUAAUUCAAGGAGAUAACCCUUAUAAAUGAAAGCGCUUUGGGUGUGGCCGCACCAUGAUUAGGAUAACUGGGUUUCAUCCUCUUCCUCCGUGUCACUGGUGGGGGCCUUGCCAGGGCAGGGCUCUUUGUCUGUUGUUCACUGCCAUGUCCGUAGCGCCCAUCAGACUGAAUGAACUAUGCUGGCUUUUGGAAUAACAGCAUGUAUUACUCCACCUGUCUCAGCCUUAAUUUCUUUCAACAUAAAUGGGGUUAUCAUGCCUGCUUGUCACGGAACAAGCAGAAAGACACUCAACAGCUGGAAAACAUUCCCACAGGAGUUCAGGUAUUAAGUUGCUUUGUAUGCAAGGCCAGCACUGUUCAACAGAAACUGAACCUGAGCCACACAGAAUUUACAUUUUUCUAGUAGCCACGUGAAAAGAGUAAGAAGAAAUGAGCGAAUUUUUUUCUAUUUUAUUUAACCUAAUAUAUCCAAAAUAUGAUCAAUUUGACAGGUGGUCAACAGAACAUUAUUAACGGAUAUUUUACAUUCUCUUUUUCACACUAAGUCUUCAAACCCUGGCACACAGACAUACGUGCACAGCCCAUGUCACGGGGCCAGUAAUUACUGAAUAGGACUGCGAGAUUCUAGGUGAUUCUGGGGCACCCGGACCUGCUUUGCUCUAAGCCCGCAGUGACCACAGUCUCUCAGUUCUGCUGUAGGAAAGCUGAUGGGCGCUCAGAGCAUCUUCCAGUCUCACUCGGUGCCUGGUACCCAGGGACACCUAAUAAAUGCUCAUUCUCUUUGAACCCCGUGACUCCUCCUGCCCACACUCACUGAUUAGAUGUCUGCCCCAGGACAGGGUCUCCUCUGUGGGUCCCUCCCUGGCUGCCUGACUCCAAAACAACCUGGGGCUCCCCACUGUGCCCACUGGAGCCUGGUGCCUGGGUGUGGAGGACCCUGGCACGAAGACCGCAGCAAGACACCCUUCCCCAGGUCCCCAGAGCCCCUGCAACCCUGUCCAUAGGCCAUGGGGCUGUGCUGGAGGCACCUGGCCUGCUCACAGCCAUCCCCUUCUCCAGGCUGCGAGAGCAGCCACCCCGGUAACAGAUCAUACUUUAGCAACAUCGGAGGGGCCACGUUCCUGCCAUCACCUCCACCCCAGCUGUCCCUGUCGCCCAGAACUGCUGUGUCCCCUGCUGGCUCACAGCCCAGCCUGCACUCUCCUCCCAUGUGUGGACACAGGUCCCUGCAGGCUCAGCACUCCCUGCCUGGCCAGGGCCACUGGCCUUUGAUCACAUCUGCAGUUCCUUCCUCUGGGGGUUAAUUCUGUCUCAGUGGGUGUGUAUUGGGGUUGCAUUGCUGCUGGAAUGUCUGGAACGCACAGGAGGGUACACCCCUCCCUGGAACCAGCCUCACCUGUCCCAGAGCCCAGAGAAGGGGCUGGGCCUCCUGCCACCACGGUCAUCCUCUUCUGGCGUCCUGCCUGCCUGGAGGGCCAGCUUGGGGGAGGUGCACCUCCGGUGCCGAGUAGCCCUCUGCCCCUACCUUCUUUAAACACUGCCUGGCUCCUGAAACAUCUGCCCUGGCUCUGACACAAAGGCAACCACCGUGGACACUCAGGAAAUAACUGAUGAAUAGUAACAACACUGAGGGCACCUACUGGGUGCCCAGCGACCGCUCAGUCCUUUUGUGCAUCACCCAUUGACGUCUCAUAGCCCUAGGAAGUAGCCACCCUUAGUGUUACUGGGGCUCUUAAUCCUACCUAUUAGGCUAUUAAAUUUUUGGACAAAAAGAACUUACUCACCUUUUUGGGGGCCCUUCUAUAACCUUAAUUCCACACCUUGCGUAGGGCUGGGCUCAAUAAAUAGGUGUUGAACUGAGCAGAUGUUUUAAUGCAAUUCGGUAACUCUUAUGUCUCUGUGUUCUAGGUGAAGAUAACUGAGGCUCACAGAAGUUAAGAAACUGGUCCGAGUUUACACAGCUGGGAAGUGGUGGUGCCAAGAUUCGAACCCAUGAAGACGGGCUUCAAAAAGCCACCUUCUCAGUACAAAGGGGACAUCAGUAUCAAUCCACACCCACCCCUUACAGACAAAGGGACAAGAGACAUCGGAGAGACAGGAUGAUGGGACCAGGCAUUCACCACCCAGGGAAGCAGAGUGAUUUACAGUUUGUUGUCAUUUUCAUCAGUACAAUUAAUCCCAGUGGUUGGUUGGGUAAGGAUUAGUGAUGGUAAACGGAGACUGAGUCAUUCUCCUAAGUUGUCCCCACAAGGGACUCCCAGCCUGUCCCUCCAAACAGACCUUUCAGGCGGAAGCAACUGCCAUUGAGUGAGCACCUUCCUGGCCCACACCCUACCCUAGCACCGGAAGCAGGUUUCAUCUCUGAUCCUUAUAACAACUAGUUGAGGUACGUGCUAUCAUAGCUCCAUUGCAGAUGAGGAAACUGAGCCUCAGGAAGACCACUUGCUCAGGGUCAAUAGGUUAGUAAGAGGUCUAUGCUUGUAACUGCUGCAGCCCCAACUGGGCACUUUCUAGAUAUUCAGUAAUUGCCAAAUAAAUUUUCGACCCCACCCCACCAACUCUUUGUCAUCUCUCUGCCCCUUACAGGCCCUGGCAACAGGCCCUUCACCAUUAACAAGCCCCCAGAGAUAUGAAUUGUCCACAUGCUAUAAAAUACCUGCUCAAUUUCACACCUAUUUAUGGAGCCCCAAGCUUAUGUAAGGCCUGGAAUUAAGGACAACAGAAGGCCCUCUCCCAAAAGAUGAGUAAAUCCCAACUAUUCAAAAGCUUGUAAGCUAGUAGGUAGGUUAAGGAAAAACACCCCAAUGGGUAUAAUUACAAAGAUUUGGCUUGGCGCGGUGACUCAUGCCUGUAAUCCCAGCACUUUGGGAGGCCGAGGCGGGCAGAUCACGAGGUCAGG
rnacentral:lncRNA from 1 species